UUUUGUCGUAAGUGGUUUUUAGAUAUGUGAUACUUUUCUAUUUUUCUAAUUCUGAAUGAGUCAUCCAAGGACACUUUGUUUUGAUUUUUUGCAAGGUCACAAUUUCUGAAAAGGGAAACAUCAUUUAUAAGGGGUAUUGUAUAGUUGCACACAUUUUUAUUCACUUCUGCUUCAUAAUCACCACACUCUGAAGUUUGUUUAUUUGUAAAAUCCGAGACUAAGAUAUGGUCAGAUUCAGUUUUAUGGUGCAAAUGAGGUAUGUUUGGUUGAUGUUUGAGCUUUUCUUGACUGUCACUUGCUCUGGAUGACUUAAAAUCAAAAUAUAAAGGAUUACAGCUGUAAGAAAUCGAUGGGUCUGUACUUGUGUAAAUUAACAUUUCUGAUGGCCACUGAAGAAUAUUUGAUCCAUAUUUGCUAAGAACAGGAACAAAGGGUUGACAUGGUCUCUUGUGCACGUCUGGUUUGGUUUUUGAGGCUCCACUACCACCUUCUUCAGACAGUGAUGAAACUACUGCAUCUGCCCCCGGAUCCUUUAUUUCCGUUUCAGCUGUGGGUGGAUCGCUCUUCCCGUCGUUGCCGUUUUCCUCCGCAAGGUCCUGCAGAGACAAACAAUCCUCCACACCCUCCUGCACAAGAGGCCUGUUUGCCUGCAGCUCAGACCCACUGCUGUCCAGGGGCAGGACCUGAGCGCUGUCCACAGCCACGGGCAGAGUUUGCUCCGGGCAUACGACUAUUUCUGCUGCUGAAGGAGGCUGAAGGUUACAUGUUCCUGGAAUAAACCUACUCCUUCUGCUAAAUCCGUGCUCCAUAGAAGUUUCGUCAUUAUAUUCAUAGAAAACAGCAGCUGAAGACUCCAGUUUCACUGCUGCUUUCUUAGGAAAAGCAAAGGAGAACCCAACUCUGUGUCCUUGAGCUCCUUGAACCUGAUCUCCACAUUUGCUAGCAUCGGAUUUAUUACCACACACAUCCCCAGGAGUGGAAGGAACAACAAAAGCAACGUCUUUACAGUUCUGUGCAUCAUGCAUUAAUGUACAGCUGGAAUCCUGCUGGUUGGCAGAAUCCAUGGCAGCACUUUUUGGGACAUCACUGCAGUCAUCUUGCACAGUCACUGUAGUGGAUUUGAACAUAGGGCCGCUUCCAGGAGCACUAGGAAGGAAAACAAAACUCUUUGAGUCAAAGCCUUUCAGAGAACUGCUGACAGAAACAUGGUAUUACACUGGUAUCUAAGAGAGUUUUUUAAGGAAAGACGAGGAAUCUGUAGAUAUGUGGAUUUAGAAUGUUUGAAAAAAACGCCAUCUUUUACAAUAAGAUCAGUUGACCAGUAUUAGAGGGGAAAAAAAAUGAGUAAAUAUUAUGCUCCCAGCUCCCUCAUGUGUUACCAGCUGAAGGACUCAUAUUCCUACAAAGUAGUUAACUUUUCCUAGACACACUGGCUGGCCAAAUAAGAGACUGCAUAUCUCCCAAGAAAUCUUGCUUCUCCUCCCAGUAGACCAGCAUGGUUACAACACUAUUACUACAAAUAGUGGAGGUUUUACAUUCCUUAGUGCUACAAAAUAUAUUAAAACAGAGAGCACCUCAUGGAGCACUUUCCUCUUAGUCAUCAUUCCAGUGACUGCUGCUCUGCCCACAGGCAAUCCCCCAGCAGCUCCCAUCCUAUUUGUGUUCACAGACCAAACCAUCGCCAUCUCAGCAAUUUCUUUCAUGGAAAAAUAAAACUGGGGAGAGUAUUUCAGCUGACAGGAGUGAAUUAAGUGAUUCAUCCCUCUUGAGAAAAAAUUUAUCACUGUCUGCUUCUGUUCUCCAUUUCUUUUCCUCUUCCCAUCUGUUCUAUUUGACUUAAUAGGAAGGAAAGAGGAAAGCAAAAAAUAUUUAACUGCCAGUUUUCCAGGAUCCACAGGAACUGCUAAACACUAGGAGUAAUGGACCUAUGUUAAAACAAUUUGUUUGUUUGAACCAAAUUAUUCUGUGUUACAGUGCAGAGCAAUAUUAGAUGAUGAGUCACUGGGAAAAUCCUGCAAGUGUCAUUUAGGACCCCAAAAAGUGCUGAGAUAAAGAAUAAUGACCCAACUGGGUCUAGAAAUUAAAGCAGAAGUUUUACAAGAGAUGAAUUUCUCAUGAGAAUUCCUGCCUUGCCCAGUUCUUCAUAAAUUUAAAAUAUAUAUUAUAAACUCCACACAAACCCUUCCUUUAAAAGAAUAAAAUGGUGACUUCUACAAAACCAACCUAGAAAAUACCAGCUUAAAAAAAAAAACAAAACCUGUGUCUGUCUGUAUCCCACUUCAAAGGAUGCAAAGCGGUAGUAAACAGCAAUUAUUAGGUAGAAAAAUAAAGCUCAGACAGAAGUUCUCCUUCAGGAACUAGAAAAAAGAUAUUUAAAAAAAAAAAAAAUCCAGAAACAACAAAAGCUUGCAAAAUCCGUGCUUCACUAGCAUGGAAAAAGGGAAACGGUAAGGUUUAUUUUCCUCUUUCUCCUGAAAUAUGCUAAAUUCAGAUUCUGGAGCGUGUUUAAGGGGAAUAAUAUCUAAUAUAUUCAAGUAUUAAAUUUGGACAGUUAAAAUACUGAUAGAGAAGGAAGAGUCUCUCCAUGAGCUAUCAUAAAAAGAUUAAAACAUUAUGCGUCACGCUUCUCGUGCCAAAUAGACCUCACAACGUUCACAUCCUCUCCACCUGCUCAGACAGACUCUGUUCCAGCAGGCUGCCCACCAUCCAAACUAAGGGGAAAGAGACUAUUUCUGAGCAAAAGCUGCAACUUGGUUGGACUUCUCUGUUGGUUCAUCUGGUGAGACGAAGACUGAAUAAAAGGAAAACAUUUGCACUUGA